GCUGGGUGUGGUGGUGCUCACUUGUGGUCCCAGCUACUUGGGAGGCUGAGGCAGGAGAAUCGCUUGAGCCCAGGAGUUCUAGGCUGCAGUGAGCUAUGAUCAAACCACUGCACUUCAGCCUGGGUGACAGAGGGAGACCCUGUUUCAA
ensembl:misc_RNA Metazoa_SRP Metazoan signal recognition particle RNA